ensembl:ncRNA F56A12.9 ncRNA
UGAAGAUGAAGUGAAUGUAUAUUGAAGUGGCAGCUGAUGUUGUUGAUAACAAUCGAAAUAUGAAGAAGUGUCAAUUGGCGGAUGGUCUGUCAUGAAAUAAGGUGGAAUACUACUCAUCUUGCAAACGUUCCU